rnacentral:rRNA from 1 species
AGAGUUUGAUCCUGGCUCAGGACGAACGCUGGCGGCGUGCUUAACACAUGCAAGUCGAACGAUGAAGCCUAGCUUGCUAGGUGGAUUAGUGGCGAACGGGUGAGUAAUACGUGAGUGACCUACCUUUGACUCUGGGAUAAGCCUGGGAAACUGGGUCUAAUACCGGAUACGACCAAUCUCCGCAUGGGGUGUUGGUGGAAAGCGUUAUGGAGUGGUUUUAGAUGGGCUCACGGCCUAUCAGCUUGUUGGUGAGGUAAUGGCUUACCAAGGCGACGACGGGUAGCCGGCCUGAGAGGGUGACCGGCCACACUGGGACUGAGACACGGCCCAGACUCCUACGGGAGGCAGCAGUGGGGAAUAUUGCACAAUGGGCGCAAGCCUGAUGCAGCGACGCCGCGUGAGGGAUGACGGCCUUCGGGUUGUAAACCUCUGUUAGCAUCGAAGAAGCGAAAGUGACGGUAGGUGCAGAGAAAGCGCCGGCUAACUACGUGCCAGCAGCCGCGGUAAUACGUAGGGCGCGAGCGUUGUCCGGAAUUAUUGGGCGUAAAGAGCUUGUAGGCGGUUGGUCGCGUCUGCUGUGAAAGGCUGGGGCUUAACCCUGGUUUUGCAGUGGGUACGGGCUAACUAGAGUGCAGUAGGGGAGACUGGAAUUCCUGGUGUAGCGGUGGAAUGCGCAGAUAUCAGGAGGAACACCGAUGGCGAAGGCAGGUCUCUGGGCAGUAACUGACGCUGAGGAGCGAAAGCAUGGGGAGCGAACAGGAUUAGAUACCCUGGUAGUCCAUGCCGUAAACGUUGGGCACUAGGUGUGGGGGACAUUCCACGUUUUCCGCGCCGUAGCUAACGCAUUAAGUGCCCCGCCUGGGGAGUACGGCCGCAAGGCUAAAACUCAAAGGAAUUGACGGGGGCCCGCACAAGCGGCGGAGCAUGCGGAUUAAUUCGAUGCAACGCGAAGAACCUUACCAAGGCUUGACAUGCACCCCGGGCGCGCGGAGACGCGCGCGCAUUUGGUUGGGGGUGUGCAGGUGGUGCAUGGUUGUCGUCAGCUCGUGUCGUGAGAUGUUGGGUUAAGUC